rnacentral:tRNA from 2 species
GGGUGGCUAGCUCAGUUGGGAGAGCGCUACGUUCGCAACGUAGAGGUCAUCGGUUCAACUCCGUUGCCAUCCACCA